rnacentral:rRNA from 1 species
AUGGCCAAGAGUGGCCGCCUGGUUCUUCUCAAUGCCGCCUUGUCAUCUAUUGAUAUUUACAUGAUGACGAUUCACAAAUUACCGGUGUGGGUCCUGAAAUGGCUUAUUCAGAUCUGCCGCGCGUGGCUAUGUAGCGGGGAGAACUCUUGUAAUGGCGGGAAGUGCAGAGUUAACUGGCAGGCUCUGGCGCGCCCUAAAACCCUGGGUGACCUUGGGGUUAUGGACCUGGAAAAAUUCGGCCGUGCCCUUCGCAUCCGAUGGUUAUGGAUGUCCUGGAAGGAUCAGUAGAGACCAUGGGUUGACCUGGAACUUCCAUGUGAUGCGUCGGAUCAUGCCCUCUUCAAUAUGGCCACAACCGUCACGCUGCAGGACGGUUGCAUUGCAUGA